rnacentral:rRNA from 1 species
GACGGAGGGUGCAAGCGUUAUCCGGAUUUACUGGGUUUAAAGGGUGUGUAGGCGGGCUUUUAAGUCAGUGGUGAAAUCUCCGGGCUCAACCUGGAAACUGCCAUUGAUACUAUUAGUCUUGAAUUUUGUUGAGGUAGGCGGAAUAAGUCAUGUAGCGGUGAAAUGCAUAGAUAUGACUUAGAACACCAAUUGCGAAGGCAGCUUGCUAAACAAAUAUUGACGCUGAGGCACGAAAGCGUGGGGAUCAAACAGG